rnacentral:rRNA from 1 species
UACGGAGGGGGCUAGCGUUGUUCGGAUUUACUGGGCGUAAAGCGCACGUAGGCGGCUUUUUAAGUCAGGGGUGAAAUCCUGGAGCUCAACUCCAGAACUGCCUUUGAUACUGAGAAGCUUGAGUCCGGGAGAGGUGAGUGGAACUGCGAGUGUAGAGGUGAAAUUCGUAGAUAUUCGCAAGAACACCAGUGGCGAAGGCGGCUCACUGGACUGGUAUUGACGCUGAGGUGCGAAAGCGUGGGGAGCAAACAGG